rnacentral:rRNA from 1 species
GACGAACGCUGGCGGCGUGCUUAACACAUGCAAGUCGAACGGAAAGGCCCUGCUUUUGUGUGGUGCUCGAGUGGCGAACGGGUGAGUAACACGUGAGUAACCUUCCUUUGACUUUGGGAUAACUUCAGGAAACUGGUGCUAAUACCUGAUAGGAGCUCCUGCUGCAUGGUGGGGGUUGGAAAGUUUCGGCGGUUGGGGAUGGACUCGCGGCUUAUCAGCUUGUUGGUGGGGUAGUGGCUUACCAAGGCUUUGAAGGGUAGCCGGCCUGAGAGGGUGACCGGCCACAAUGGGCCUGAGGUACGGCCCAGACUCCAACGGGAGGCAGCAGUGGGGAGUAUUGCACAAUGGGCGGAAGCCUGAUGCAGCAACGCCGCGUGCGGGAUGACGGCCUUCGGGUUGUAAACCGCUUUCGCCUGUGACGAAGCGUGAGUGACGGUAAUGGGUAAAGAAGCACCGGCUAACUACGUG